rnacentral:misc_RNA from 1 species
ACUUUAUUGGUAUGCGAAACUUCCGGAAACCUAUUCCGGCAAGAUUUUGGAAGCGCGCAAGCGCUACAUUUUUUUUUUGUCAUGUGCGGGUGCGCGCCGCCCCUCCUCCACUGGGGGGGGGGCCUUCCCACACGCGCUGUGGUCCCUUUUCCCCUUGCUGCUGGGAGGGGGGGGGCGCGCCGCUGCGGGUGGUUUCCUCCUGUCGGCGUCCCCUCGGGCCUGCCCGGCAUCCUUGCUGGGGGCUCUGACGGCGCGAUUCCGGCACCCCAUGCCCAGUGGCCGGUCCCCCCCCCCUCUGGUCCCCCCCCCCCAUGAUCCGGCGCACGCCUGACACGCGGUUAGUGCAUGCCAAAUGAGCCACCCCCCUCAGACCCACUUGGCAUGUGUUAACUUUUAACUAACGCUAUAUAAGUAUCAGUUUCUGU